CGUGAAAUUGUUGAAAGGGAAGCGCUUGCAAUCAGACUUGCACUUGGUGUUCAUCAGGGUCUCGUACCCUGUGUACUUCAUCAAGUUCAGGCCAGCAUCAGUUUGAGUGGUUAGAUAAAGGCUUAGAGAAUGUGGCCCUCUUCGGGGGGUGUUAUAGCUCUAGGUGCAAUGUAGCCUACUUGGACUGAGGACCGCGUUUCGGCUAGGAUGCUGGCGUAAUGGUUGUAAGCGACCCGUCUUGAAACACG
rnacentral:rRNA from 1 species